rnacentral:rRNA from 1 species
AUUGAACGCUGGCGGCAGGCCUAACACAUGCAAGUCGAACGGUAACAGGAAACAGCUUGCUGUUUCGCUGACGAGUGGCGGACGGGUGAGUAAUGUCUGGGAAACUGCCUGAUGGAGGGGGAUAACUACUGGAAACGGUAGCUAAUACCGCAUAACGUCGCAAGACCAAAGAGGGGGACCCUCGGGCCUCUUGCCAUCGGAUGUGCCCAGAUGGGAUUAGCUUGUUGGUGGGGUAACGGCUCACCAAGGCAACGAUCCCUAGCUGGUCUGACAAGAUGACCAGCCGCUCUGGAACUGAGACACUGACCACCACUCCUACAGGAGGUAGGAGUGGGGAAUAUUGCACAUCGUCCGCAAGGCUGAUGCACCCGUGCGACCUGUAUCAAGAAAGCCUUCAGGUUGUACAGUACUUUCAGCGUCUGGUAUUAGGAGAAAAGUUAAUGCGUUAGUUACUGUGCGCGUCUUGACGAUACCUAAUCAGAAAGCCCCGGGUAACUACGUGCCAGCAGGCGGCGUUAAUACUUCGGUGGCAAGUGUUAUCCGGAAUUACUGGGCGUAAAGCGCACGCAGGCGGUUUGUUAAGUCAGAUGUGAAAUCCCCGGGCUCACCUGGUAACUGCAUCUGAUACUGGCAAGCUUGAGUCUCGUAGAGGGGGGUAGAAUUCCAGGUGUAGCGGUGAAAUGCGUAGAGAUCUGGAGGAAUACCGGUGGCGAAGGCGGCCCCCUGGACGAAGACUGACGCUCAGGUGCGAAAGCGUGGGGAGCAAACAGGAUUAGAUACCCUGGUAGUCCACGCCGUAAACGAUGUCGACUUGGAGGUUGUGCCCUUGAGGCGUGGCUUCCGGAGCUAACGCGUUAAGUCGACCGCCUGGGGAGUACGGCCGCAAGGUUAAAACUCAAAUGAAUUGACGGGGGCCCGCACAAGCGGUGGAGCAUGUGGUUUAAUUCGAUGCAACGCGAAGAACCUUACCUGGUCUUGACAUCCACGGAAGUUUUCAGAGAUGAGAAUGUGCCUUCGGGAACCGUGAGACAGGUGCUGCAUGGCUGUCGUCAGCUCGUGUUGUGAAAUGUUGGGUUAAGUCCCGCAACGAGCGCAACCCUUAUCCUUUGUUGCCAGCGGUCCGGCCGGGAACUCAAAGGAGACUGCCAGUGAUAAACUGGAGGAAGGUGGGGAUGACGUCAAGUCAUCAUGGCCCUUACGACCAGGGCUACACACGUGCUACAAUGGCGCAUACAAAGAGAAGCGACCUCGCGAGAGCAAGCGGACCUCAUAAAGUGCGUCGUAGUCCGGAUUGGAGUCUGCAACUCGACUCCAUGAAGUCGGAAUCGCUAGUAAUCGUGGAUCAGAAUGCCACGGUGAAUACGUUCCCGGGCCU